UAUCACUGAAGGAGGGGAUUGCGUCUGAUUAGCUCGACGGCGGGGUAACGGCCCACCGUGGCGACGAUCGGUAGGGGUUCUGAGAGGAAGGUCCCCCACACUGGAACUGAGACACGGUCCAGACUCCUACGGGAGGCAGCAGUGAGGAAUAUUGGUCAAUGGGCGGAAGCCUGAACCAGCCAAGUAGCGUGCAGGAUGACGGCCCUAUGGGUUGUAAACUGCUUUUAUGCGGGGAUAAAGGGGCUCACGUGUGGGUUUUUGCAGGUACCGCAUGAAUAAGGACCGGCUAAUUCCGUGCCAGCAGCCGCGGUAAUACGGAAGGUCCGGGCGUUAUCCGGAUUUAUUGGGUUUAAAGGGAGCGUAGGCCACCUCUUAAGCGUGUUGUGAAAUGCGGGUGCUCAACAUCCGACUUGCAGCGCGAACUGGGGGGCUUGAGUGCGCCGAAAGUAGGCGGAAUUCGUGGUGUAGCGGUGAAAUGCUUAGAUAUCACGAAGAACUCCGAUUGCGAAGGCAGCUUACUGUAGCGCAACUGACGCUGAUGCUCGAAAGCGUGGGUAUCGAACAGGAUUAGAUACCCUGGUAGUCCACGCGGUAAACGAUGGAUGCUCGUUGUCGGCCAUUGUGGUCGGUGACCAAGCGAAAGCGUUAAGCAUCCCACCUGGGGAGUACGCCGGCAACGGUGAAACUCAAAGGAAUUGACGGGGGCCCGCACAAGCGGAGGAACAUGUGGUUUAAUUCGAUGAUACGCGAGGAACCUUACCCGGGCUUGAACUGCGGCGGAACGAUUCCGAGAGGAUGAGGCCCUUCGGGGCUGCCGCGGAGGUGCUGCAUGGUUGUCGUCAGCUCGUGCCGUGAGGUGUCGGCUUAAGUGCCAUAACGAGCGCAACCCCCGUCUUCAGUUGCCAUCGGGUUAUGCCGGGCACUCUGGAGAUACUGCCACCGCAAGGUGUGAGGAAGGUGGGGAUGACGUCAAAUCAGCACGGCCCUUACGUCCGGGGCUACACACGUGUUACAAUGGCGCAUACAGAGAGUAGGUGGCAUGCGAAUGCCAUCCAAUCCUUAAAGUGCGUCUCAGUUCGGACUGGGGUCUGCAACCCGACCCCACGAAGCUGGAUUCGCUAGUAAUCGCGCAUCAGCCAUGGCGCGGUGAAUACGUUCCCGGGCCUUGUACACACCGCCCGUC
rnacentral:rRNA from 1 species